CCUACGGGAGGCAGCAGUGGGGAAUAUUGCACAAUGGGCGAAAGCCUGAUGCAGCGACGCCGCGUGAGGGAUGACGGCCUUCGGGUUGUAAACCUCUUUCAGCAGGGAAGCGGUACCUGCAGAAGAAGCACCGGCUAACUACGUGCCAGCAGCCGCGGUAAUACGUAGGGUGCGAGCGUUGUCCGGAUUUAUUGGGCGUAAAGAGCUCGUAGGCGGCUUGUCGCGUCGGAUGUGAAAGCCCGGGGCUUAACUCCGGGUCUGCAUUCGAUACGGGCAGGCUAGAGUGUGGUAGGGGAGAUCGGAAUUCCUGGUGUAGCGGUGAAAUGCGCAGAUAUCAGGAGGAACACCGGUGGCGAAGGCGGAUCUCUGGGCCAUACUGACGCUGAGGAGCGAAAGCGUGGGGAGCGAACAGGAUUAGAUACCCUUGUAGUC
rnacentral:rRNA from 1 species